rnacentral:tRNA from 6 species
GCUAUUUUGGCAGAUAAGUGCACUGGAUUUAGAAUCUAUUAAUGUAAAUUUUAUUUUACAAGUAGUA